rnacentral:piRNA from 1 species
UCAAAAUUAUUAUGCUGCCACCUGUUGUC